AUGGUUCUGCUUCGUUACGGCGUCAUGUAUCUCAUCGAGCACCCAUCCCCACCCAACGCCAACAGCCAGUACCUCGAGCUCGACACCCACGUCGCCCUCGCCAUGUAUGCCACCCUCUCUAAUCAGAUCGCCGACCACGUGAUCGGCGCCACCACCACUUUCGAUCUCUGGUCUCGGAUCAGGGACUACUUCCUCGCAAAUCACGCGGCUCAGUACAUGAUGCUCAAUCGUCAGUAUCGCAACCUCAAGCAGGGCGACCUCUUCGUCGACGAAUACACACGCCGCAUGAAGCUGCUCACCGCGGGCCUCGUCGACAUCGACCAUGCGGUCUCCGAGGUGGAUCUGACCACUUAG
rnacentral:rRNA from 1 species